rnacentral:piRNA from 1 species
GCAUGGCAAAUUCUGACCAUUGCCCAGAACCC